rnacentral:lncRNA from 1 species
UGAACAUAGCCAAAACACAAUGGCAUUAUCGAUAAUAAUAUACAUGCACUAUACAGGUCAUGUAUUUAGCAAUUUACAUUGCAUACACAUAUUCAUAUUGUUAGAUUGUUUUCACAAUACAAAAGGACCCAUGACUUCCAGCGGAGACAUUUACAAUAAAAGGGAUUACUAUCGAAUGCCAGACACAUACACAGGAUAUGCACUACGGGGACUCCUCGAUCUAGGGUCCAACAGUCACCUGAUCUGAAAACAUGAAUUUUUAUAAAACGUGAGUACAAUACUCAGUGAGUGAACAAGGAGGGAACAAGCAUACAAUAAGGAAUGUUU